rnacentral:lncRNA from 10 species
GGUGGGCUGCCGGCAGGAGUGGCUGCCCAGGAAUAAGAGCAUGGGGCAUAAAACAGCAGUUUAUUCCAGCAUGGAAGAGCAGCUUGCUGCUGCGGUGCGGCAUGUGAGCUGGUUUGCAGCUAGAGCUGAGGUUCCUCCAGCUGAAAGAUGCUGAAGUGAGAGGGCAGCCACACAGCAUCAGGAAGAGCAAUGUUGAGGUGGAGAGAGGAGCAGAUGAGCCCUGAGGACUCACCCCAAUGUCCCACACUCUACCCAUGAAAAUGAUGCAACAUACUUUAAAAUUUUGGGCAACAACUCAGAACCACCCACUAACAACCAUACACCCUGACAUAACCUUCUAAGCUGCUGCAGAAGGGACAGAGGGAGACGCUGCCUCUGGUCAUUAUUCUGAGCGCUGUAUUAUGAACAUGAUGACAGAAUGCACUCAACCUGCUUUAGAAGUUUGAUCUUUGUGUGCCAGUAUUUCUGAACACUUAGCCAAGGAUGGAUGGCUCAAUUCUAGAACAGCUCAAGCUUUCCUGAGAACGCCUGCUCAAAGGCAUAUUUGUUAAGGAGUAUUUUUUAUGCAGUUAGGCCAAGGUGCCAUAAAAAUGACCGAAGCAACAAAUCUCCAUGUAUAUUACACACUAGGCAAGCUUCAAGGCCAACCCAGGCCCAAUGGGGGUCUGAAAAACACGAGCAAAAUCAAUCAACUCUGGGCAUUGCUCCUUAGGAUGUCAGAGUGUGCCCACAUGUAGCGACCACUGGGUGGCCACUGUUUGUCCUCUGCCUUGGCACUCGGUCAGUAUUUAACAUAUGUUUAUUGAAUGAAUGUCUGCAUCCUGUAGGAAGAAAUCUGAAUUGUAUUCAUCUUACUCUGUAUAAUAUGACAGACUUUAAGAAAUAAUAAAAUAAAGCAAAGCUUUUAAAAGCUGAUAAAUC